GACGAACGCUGGCGGCGCGCCUAAUACAUGCAAGUAGAACGCUGAAGAGAGGAGCUUGCUCUUCUUGGAUGAGUUGCGAACGGGUGAGUAACGCGUAGGUAACCUGCCUUGUAGCGGGGGAUAACUAUUGGAAACGAUAGCUAAUACCGCAUAACAAUGGAUGACACAUGUCAUUUAUUUGAAAGGGGCAAUUGCUCCACUACAAGAUGGACCUGCGUUGUAUUAGCUAGUAGGUGAGGUAAUGGCUCACCUAGGCGACGAUACAUAGCCGACCUGAGAGGGUGAUCGGCCACACUGGGACUGAGACACGGCCCAGACUCCUACGGGAGGCAGCAGUAGGGAAUCUUCGGCAAUGGGGGCAACCCUGACCGAGCAACGCCGCGUGAGUGAAGAAGGUUGUCGGAUCGUAAAGCUCUGUUGUAAGUCAAGAACGGGUGUGAGAGUGGAAAGUUCACACUGUGACGGUAGCUUACCAGAAAGGGACGGCUAACUACGUG
rnacentral:rRNA from 1 species